CCUUUAAAGGCAUGAGGAACAAUGGGAGGUUUAACUGCAGAGCUUUUUCCACUGAAAGAUGACAAAAGAAAGAGAUUUCAAUCAAAAUCUCAACCAUACUCAUGUUUCAGGGGCUCCAACAUGUGCCACUGGAGGGCCUCAGUCUGCUGCCUGUGACAGGUGGAGCUCACCUGGGCCAAAGGAGGGGAUGAGGGUCCAUCACUCAGGAGGAUUUUGUCAGCAGACCCAGUCGCCACCAUUUCUCUUUCCAAGGAAUAGUUCAUCGCACCACCAUAGAGCGAGUCUGCCUUCGAGAGGGCUCAUAAACGGCAGCUUGUCCUCUCACAGCAAGCUAGCUAUGCUAAAGCUAUGGAGCUGCUACGGCACAUCCAUCCACAGCUGUGGAUAUAUUCUUCAUGGAGGAACUUAUACGCCUCAUCAAGUUUAUUUGUUCGGGUAUUUGCCGCUGCGAUUGCCUCCGCAUCAGCGAACGAAAAAGCUGAUUGGGGCUUCUCAACUGCUGGAUCGGAACACAAAAGUGGGUCGUGGAGCUGUUUUCAGUGGAACGCAGGGAUUUUAAAAUAGAAAGUGCUUUUAUUGUGAAAAUGAUUUUCAUGAUCUUAUUACUGCUUAGACAUCAAUUCUCUAUAAAUUUCUGAUUUAUGUAUUUUUGUAUACAGAUAAAUGUAGGUGAUUUGUUCAGCAAAACUAUUACUAUUAUUACUUCUGUUAUUUGGGAGGCAGCUUGUUUAUAAGGGCUUAAAUACAGUAUGUUGGUACAUCACAAUAAAGCAGUUGCAACUUUACA
rnacentral:lncRNA from 1 species